CGUUCUAUGGCCGAAUUGGUAAAGGUAUCACCGAUCACUGGCGAGGUUGCGGGUUCGAGUCCCGCUGGAACGA
rfam:Operophtera brumata OBRT01_Sc07710, whole genome shotgun sequence.